rnacentral:rRNA from 1 species
AGGAUGAACGCUGGCGGCGUGCCUAACACAUGCAAGUCGAACGUCCUGUCUCGCAAGAGGCAGGGAGUGGCGGACGGGUGAGUACCACGUGGGUCAUCUACCGUGAGGUGAGGAAUACCGGCGAGAAAUCGCCGACAAGACCGCAUAGGCUCGAUGCAAGUCGAGCAAAGCUCUUUCGAGAGAGGGAGCGCCACACGAGGAGCCUGCGCCCGAUUAGCUAGCUGGUGGAGUAACGGUUCACCAGGGCGACGAUCGGUAGCUGGUCUGAGAGGACGAUCAGCCACACUGGGAUUGAGAACGGCCCAGACUCCUACGGGGGGCAGCAGUGAGGAAUUUUCGCAAUGGGGGCAACCCUGAACGAGCAACGCCGCGUGCAGGAGAAGGUUUUCGGAUCGUAAACUGCUUUUCUCGGGGAAGAGAACGGACGGUACCCGAGGAAUCAGCCCCGGCUAACUACGCGCCAGCAGCCGCGGU